ACUCCUACGGGAGGCAGCAGUGGGGAAUUUUGGACAAUGGGGGCAACCCUGAUCCAGCAAUGCCGCGUGUGUGAAGAAGGCCAUCGGGUUGUAAAGCACUUUUGUCCGGAAAGAAAUCACACUUACUAAUAUUAGGUGUGGAUGACGGUACCGGAAGAAUAAGGACCGGCUAACUACGUGCCAGCAGCCGCGGUAAUACGUAGGGUCCAAGCGUUAAUCGGAAUUACUGGGCGUAAAGCGUGCGCAGGCGGUUGUGCAAGACCGAUGUGAAAUCCCCGGGCUUAACCUGGGAAUUGCAUUGGUGACUGCACGGCUAGAGUGUGUCAGAGGGGGGUAGAAUUCCACGUGUAGCAGUGAAAUGCGUAGAGAUGUGGAGGAAUACCGAUGGCGAAGGCAGCCCCCUGGGAUAACACUGACGCUCAUGCACGAAAGCGUGGGGAGCAAACAGGAUUAGAUACCCUGGUAGUCCACGCCCUAAACGAUGUCRACUAGUUGUUGGGGAUUCAUUUCCUUAGUAACGUAGCUMACGCGUGAAGUUGACCGCCUGGGGAGUACGGUCGCAAGAUUAAAACUCAAAUGAAUUGACGG
rnacentral:rRNA from 1 species